UACGAGAGGCCCAAACGUUAUUCGGAAUUACUGGGCUUAAAGAGUCCGUAGGCGGCGCGGAAAAUGGGGUGUGAAAUCCCUCGGCUUAACCGAGGAAUUGCGCUCCAAACUGCCGUGCUUGAGGAACCUAGAGGUGAGCAGAACUGAUGGUGGAGCGGUGAAAUGCGUUGAUAUCAUCAGGAAUACCGGAGGCGAAGGCGGCUCACUGGGGGUUUUCUGACGCUGAGGGACGAAAGCCAGGGUAGCGAACGGG
rnacentral:rRNA from 1 species